CGGAGUGUGGCGCAGUCCGGUAGCGUACUUGCAUGGGGUGCAAGGGGUCGUGGGUUCAAAUCCCGCCACUCCGA
rnacentral:tRNA from 1 species